rnacentral:rRNA from 1 species
AGCGAACGCUGGCGGCAGGCUUAACACAUGCAAGCCGAGCGGGCAUCUUCGGGUGUCAGCGGCGGACGGGUGAGUAACGCGUGGGAACGUGCCUUCUGGUUCGGAAUAACUCAGGGAAACUUGAGCUAAUACCGGAUACGCCCUUUUGGGGAAAGGUUUACUGCCGGAAGAUCGGCCCGCGUCUGAUUAGCUAGUUGGUGGGGUAACGGCCUACCAAGGCGACGAUCAGUAGCUGGUCGGAGAGGAUGAUCAGCCACACUGGGACUGAGACACGGCCCAGACUCCUACGGGAGGCAGCAGUGGGGGAUAUUGGACAAUGGGGGCAACCCUGAUCCAGCCAUGCCGCGUGAGUGAUGAAGGCCUUAGGGUUGUAAAGCUCUUUUAUCCGGGACGAUAAUGACGGUACCGGAGGAAUAAGCCCCGGCUAACUUCGUGCCAGCCGCCGCCGUAA